rfam:Mus musculus chromosome 6, GRC primary reference assembly.
GUCUACAGCCAUACCACCCUGAACACACCCGAUCUCAGAAGCUAAGCAAGGUCGGGCCUGGUUAAUACUUGGAUGGGAGACCACAUGGAAAUACCAGUGCUGCUCCUA